rnacentral:rRNA from 1 species
UACGGAGGGGGCUAGCGUUGUUCGGAAUUACUGGGCGUAAAGCGCACGUAGGCGGCUUUGUAAGUUAGAGGUGAAAGCCCGGGGCUCAACCCCGGAACUGCCUUUAAGACUGCAUCGCUUGAAUCCAGGAGAGGUGAGUGGAAUUCCGAGUGUAGAGGUGAAAUUCGUAGAUAUUCGGAAGAACACCAGUGGCGAAGGCGGCUCACUGGCCUGGUAUUGACGCUGAGGCGCGAAAGCCAGGGGAGCAAACGGG